AUAGCAUCCAUCUUGACCAAACAAGUACUGAUAACCUUCUCUUCCACUAUUAGGGCAUUGAUAUGCUCUUUUGAAUAAUUUCCAGUUUUCGAAGUCCAUCGCUGUAUUUUGGUUGGUUCAUAAAUGCACCAUUAUGUGAAGAUUCCGUAAUGAUGCUUUUAUUUGGUUUCACUUGGUGCAGGGCAAGAAAUUAGUUUUUGUAACAAACAAUUCUAGGAAGUCGAGAAGGCAGUAUUCAAAGAAAUUCAAAACACUUGGCCUUGAAGUUACUGAGGAAGAGAUCUUCAUGUCAUCAUUUGCAGCAGCCAUGUUCUUGAAGUUAAAUAAUUUUUCUCCAGAAAAGAAGAAGUAUGACU